rnacentral:rRNA from 1 species
UACGUAGGGUGCAGGCGUUAAUCGGAAUUACUGGGCGUAAAGCGUGCGCAGGCGGUUUCUUAAGUCAGAUGUGAAAGCCCCGGGCUUAACCUGGGAACUGCGUUUGAAACUGGGAGACUCGAGUGUGGCAGAGGGGGGUGGAAUUCCACGUGUAGCAGUGAAAUGCGUAGAUAUGUGGAGGAACACCGAUGGCGAAGGCAGCCCCCUGGGUCAACACUGACGCUCAUGCACGAAAGCGUGGGGAGCAAGCAGG